rfam:Triticum urartu cultivar G1812 contig261233, whole genome shotgun sequence.
AAUCUACUCCGUCCGUCCGAAAAUACUUGCCAUUAAAAUGGAUAAAAAGGCAUGAAUCUAGAACUAAAAUACAUCUAGAUACAUCCCCUUUUAUUCAUUUUUGUGACAAGUAUUUCCAUACGGAAGGAGUAUAUA